rnacentral:rRNA from 1 species
UCAAACCGGCGGGAGCCAGGUUGGUUUCUAUCCUCAAUUAAUUAAAAUAUUUUAGUACGAAAGGAUUAAAUAUUUAAAAAAUUUUUUUCUUUAUGAAUAAAAUUAAU